UACGAAGGGGGCUAGCGUUGUUCGGAAUUACUGGGCGUAAAGCGCACGUAGGUGGCCUGCUAAGUCGGACGUGAAAUCCCUCGGCUCAACCGGGGAACUGCGUCCGAUACUGGUGGGCUUGAGUGCAGGAGAGGAACGCGGAAUUCCAGGUGUAGCGGUGAAAUGCGUAGAUAUCUGGAGGAACACCGGUGGCGAAGGCGGCUCUCUGGACCGAUACUGACGCUGAGGCGCGAAAGCGUGGGGAGCAAACAGG
rnacentral:rRNA from 1 species